UGCAGGACUCAGAUAAAAGCCCAUCUGUACUAUUGCCCUGACUCAUCAGCGUUCCUCAGUUUAGCUCAGAAUGAAGCUCCUUGCUCAGCUCCUGGGGCUGCUGAUGCUCUGUAUCCCAGGAUUUAUUGGGGAAGUUGUGCUGACCCAGACUCCACUCUCCCUGUCCAUCACCCCUGGAGAGUCGGCCUCCAUCUCCUGUAGAUCCAGCCAGAGCCUCCUGGAUAGUGAUGGAGACACCUAUUUGUAUUGGUACCUGCAGAAGCCAGGCCAGGCUCCAAAGCUCCUGAUUUACGAAGUUUCCAACAGGGUUACUGGGGUCUCAGACAGAUUCAGAGGCAGUGGGUCAGGGACAGAUUUCACCCUGCAAAUCAGCAGCAUGCAGUCAGAAGAUACUGGGGUUUAUUACUGUUUUCAAGGUACACAUGUGCCUCCCACAGUGAUAGAGCUCCGAACAUAAACUUCCCUGACCAAGGAUGCCCAGCUGCCUUCUUUGUUGUUUGUCUGGAGAGCAGCAUAGCAAAGUCUGGAGUCUAUGUAACAGGAAGAUGCUGCAGUUCUCAGGGGAUUAUGUUGCUCUUGAAAGCUCUGGACCAUGUGUGACUCAAUUAAACCUCAAACAUCACCUGCUUAUUAACUGUCAGCUCACGGACACUUUGCAUACCACAGACAGAUGGAGAAGGGGGGUGUCUCUCCUGCUAAUGAUGACAGUA